AGAGUUUGAUCCUGGCUCAGAUUGAACGCUGGCGGCAUGCCUUACACAUGCAAGUCGAACGGCAGCAUGAUCUAGCUUGCUAGAUUGAUGGCGAGUGGCGAACGGGUGAGUAAUACAUCGGAACGUGCCCUGUAGUGGGGGAUAACUAGUCGAAAGAUUAGCUAAUACCGCAUACGACCUGAGGGUGAAAGUGGGGGACCGCAAGGCCUCAUGCUAUAGGAGCGGCCGAUGUCUGAUUAGCUAGUUGGUGAGGUAAAGGCUCACCAAGGCGACGAUCAGUAGCUGGUCUGAGAGGACGAUCAGCCACACUGGGACUGAGACACGGCCCAGACUCCUACGGGAGGCAGCAGUGGGGAAUUUUGGACAAUGGGGGCAACCCUGAUCCAGCAAUGCCGCGUGUGUGAAGAAGGCCUUCGGGUUGUAAAGCACUUUUGUCCGGAAAGAAAUCGCACUUACUAAUAUUAGGUGUGGAUGACGGUACCGGAAGAAUAAGGACCGGCUAACCACGUGCCAGCAGCCGCGGUAAUACGUAGGGUCCAAGCGUUAAUCGGAAUUACUGGGCGUAAAGCGCGCGCAGGCGGUCCGUUAAGUCCGUUGUGAAAGCUCCCGGCUCAACUGGGAGAGGUCUUCGGAUACUGGCGGACUCGAGGGAGGCAGAGGAAGGUGGAAUUCCCGGUGUAGUGGUGAAAUGCGUAGAGAUCGGGAGGAACACCAGUGGCGAAGGCGGCCUUCUGGGCCUUUCCUGACGCUGAGGCGCGAAAGCGUGGGGAGCGAACCGGAUUAGAUACCCCGGUAGUCC
rnacentral:rRNA from 1 species